UGUGGUGUGCGUGUGUGGCCGGCUGGACUCUGUCCACUAAUGGCCGGCCCUUGUUAAUUAGGCUAUGUUUAGCUUAGGAUUAGUUUAGUGCUAACUAGCCCUUUUAGCAAAUGACAAGUGGGUCCCAUCUAAAUAGAUUAGACAAAUAUUUUGGAAAUUAUUAAAUCAGUGUCAUAUGGGCCACCACCUCUCCUUUUGACUAGUCACAUUGAUUUGGUCAAUUCGGAUUUAAAUUAAACACAAAAUUCUAGAAUAUUGAUAAAACUUUGGAAAAUUAUAGAAAAUUAACCGUAACUCCGAUGGAAAAACUUUAUACAUGAAAGUUGCUUAGAACGAUGAGACGAAUCCGGAUACGCGGCCCGUUCGUCCGCCACGCAUCCCUAGCAUAGUGGACACGCAACUUCCCCCUCCGGCUCCUCUGCCCGAAAACGCGAAACACCGGGGAUAAUUUCCCGGAUGUUCCCCCCUUCACCGGUACCACCUCGUACCGCGUUAGGGCACACGUCGCAUCACGCUUUGUCAUGUCAUGCAUCGUCAUGCAUUUGUUUGCAUUAUAUUUAUUGUUUCUUCCCCCUCUUCUCUCGCUAGACACCGAGACCGACGCCGCUGCUACCCAGUACAACUACGGUGUUGACGACCACUCUCUCUUGCCAGAGCAACCAGGCAAGCCCUCCCCUUUGAUCACCAGAUAUCGCCUACUCUUCUCUCUACUGCUUGCAUUAGAGUAGUGUAGCAUGUUACUGCUUUCCGUUAAUCCUAUUCCGAUGCAUAGCCUGUCAUUGUUGCUCCAGUUGUUGAUACCUUACCUGCAAUCCUAAAUGUUUAGUAUAGGAUGCUAGUUUACCAUCGGUGGCCCUACAUUCUUGUCUGUCUGCCAUGCUAUACUAUCGUGCCGUGAUCACUUGGGAGGUGGUCACAGGUAUAUGUUUAUACAUAAUAUAUGAUACUUGUGGUGAUGAAAGCCGGGUCGACUCGUAGGAGUACCCGCGAGUGAUUCCGAUGUUGGGGGCUGAAGGGGCAGGUGGCUCCAUCCCGGUAGAGGUGGGCCUGAGUUCUCGAAGGCCCCUGACUGUUACUUUGUGGCGGAGCGACAGGGCAGGUUGAGACCACCUAGGAGAGAGGUGGGCCUGGCCCUGGUCGGCGUCCAUGGUUAUUUCAGAAUAACACGCUUAAUGAGAUCUUGGUAUUUGAUCUGAGUCUGGCUACUGGCCUAUAUGCACUAACCAUCUACGCGGGGACAGUUAUGGGCACUCGACGUCAUGGUAUCAGCCGAAGCCUUCGUGAUGUCAGCGACUGAGUGGCGCGCGCCGGAUUGGACUGGAACGCCUGAUAGGCUAGGUCUGCUUCCGGCCGCGUUCGCAACGUGCAGGUGUGCAAAGGGCGAUGGGCCCAGACCCCUGCGCCAUAGGAUUUAGACCGGCGUGCUGACCUCUCUGUUGUGCCUAGGUAGGGCUGCGACGUGUUGAUCUUCCGAGGCCGGGCAUGACCCAGGAAAGUGUGUCCGGCCAAAUGGGAUCGAGCGUGUUGGGUUAUGUGGUGCACCCAUGCAGGGAAGUUAAUCUAUUCGAAUAGCCGUGAUCUUCGGUAACAGGACGACUUGGAGUUGUACCUUGACCUUAUGACAACUAGAACCGGAUACUUAAUAAAACACACCCUUCCAAGUGCCAGAUACAACCGGUGAUCGCUCUCUUAUAGGGCGACGAGGGGAGGAUCAUCGGUUAGGAUUAUGCUAUGCAAUGCUACUUGGUGAACUUACCAUCUACUCUCUUCUCCUGCUGCAAGAUGGAGGUUACCAGAAGCGUAGUCUUCGAAAUGACUAGCUAUCCCCCUCUUAUUCCGGCAUUCUGUAGUUCAGUCCACAUAUGAUAGCCUUAUUCCAGUUGAUACCAAUGCAUACAUAUGUAGUGUAGCUCCUUGCUUGAGAGUACUUUGGAUGAGUACUCACGGUUGCUUUCUCCCUCUUUUCCCCUUUCCCUUCUACCCGAUUGCUGCGACCAGACGUUGGAGUCCAGGAGCCAGACGCUACCGUCGACGACGACUACUUCUACUCGGGAGGUGCCUACUGCUACGUUGCAGCUCCUUUUCCGCCUUAAUACAUGUAAGAAUACUUCCUCACAAUUAUCGAGGAUUCGUUCAUCCCCAAUUGUUUAGGUAUUUCACGAAAGUCUUCGAAAUACCAUUCGAUCUUCCGAAAAUCCUCAGCAGGCUAUUGUUGUUGAAAUUGUUGUUUGCUUGCAUUAUGGUUAAUUCCAUAUUUCUAGUAAUCUUCGUUGACAUCCUCUGUCACUAUCGUUCCGAGUCCCUUGAUCCAAUAUGUCGCGAAUGCUCGUAAUCCUUAAUCAAAUCCUAGCAUUCAUCCUUCCGGCUUAGACGUCACUCCAAACAUGAGCUUGUUCUUGUCAAAUCAAACCUUGAUUGAUUGUCGAUCUGUAUCGAUUCAACUCAAUUAUCUUUUGAUCAGAGCCUCUCCUUCAGAUCUUCUGAUUUGAAAAUCGUAAUUCCUUUGUAUUCAAGCUUGGAACUUAUCUAGUUAUAUCUAUAACCCGAUGCCUUUGCAUUCUUUCUUCUUCUGGGUGAGUAUCGAUACUCACAUCAGAUCUUUUAUGGACCACCAUAUCCUUGGUUGGAUUAUUAUCCGACAAUGUCCUUCAUAUUCAUUAAACUGGUGAGUUUUGCCCUGACACAUAAUGCCUUUCGUAAGUUCUAUCAUCUGCUUUUGUCAACCAUGCUCUGCUUUCGAGCUGGUAUAUUUUAAUCCUGAAGUUAGUGGUAUAUGUUCCUAAGAUACCCCUACGGGUUGAACCUAUGCCUUCCCUAAUACGUGUGAACUCGAAAGAGAUGUGAGUCAUACUCUUCUGGUGCUUCACCAGAUAAAUCUUUCGCACUACAAAUUCUUCGAAAACGAGGAGUGGAUGAAAGGUUAUGCAUUGAAGAAGUGGGAGUCGACCUUGAACCUUUGUGUUCAUGCCCAUGGACCUAAUGUGGAACUUAUCAUGGAAGCUUCUUGUGAUGAUAAUAAUCCGCUUGUUAUAAGUUCAUUUGGUAACUAUGUUUGGUCCUUUGAAACCGUGGUUCUGACCAUGAUUGUUCCCCUUUGAUUUCGUUUCUCGGACAAGUUCACGCACUUGUCUUCUGCAGAUCAAUGUAACUCCACAACCUCUAUUUUGAUCUUCCUGCAAGUAUUACCCUCUGGUAUCUCGAGAAUAUCAAAGAACUGUGUUGCUUCCUAUGAGUCUUCAUCUAGUAUUGCUUCUCACCGAUUUCAUAUUUCCCCCGGGAUCUGUGUUACUAAUCACUCGAGGACACCGAUAAGUGAAUCGGUUGAACCGAUUCCGCACUCCGAUUCUUUAACUCUAAGUAAUUUUCAUUGCUUACGAGUUUAAUAAUCCUUCAGGUCAUUCCUAGCCUGGACGGCUAUGUCAUUAUCGUGCUAAAUUUUAACUAUGCUACCUGGUCCUUCUUCCCGGAACAGAAUUUUCGACGAUGGGCUAAGCUUAUGUCGAUCUUCCUCGUCAUACCAUUUCGCCUUGAACAGCAAGCUUGCUUAAGAGUUUGUGUCGUACCCAUGGUUCCAAUAACUUUCCACUUCAUCAUUCCUUUGACUUGAUGUCAUCGUCGGUUGAUUACAUCUUCCUGAAAUCUCUCGACAAUUGUGUCAUGCUCGUCAACAUUCUGAGCUCUCCCAGCAUAUCAAUCGAAUUCGGAUAAGAAAUACCAUCCUUGACCUUCGAUGAUUUGAGUUGUCAUCGACAACCCCUUGUCUUCUUUCCAACACAUAUUUGAUCAUGUCUUGGUUAUACCUUGGACUCCUUGCUAUUCCUGCAAUUGUUCCUUGAGUAUUUCUUGUGAUCUUCAACUCAAACCACUACUUGGAACACCAUGUUAAUGCUACCUCAAAGCAUGACUAAGGUAUUCCAAAUAUCAACAAAAACAUUGGAAGCACAUUACCGAAUGUUUCUUGAUCUAUUACCAAACACCAUUGUAUGAGUAAUAUCAUGAUUCUCAUUGCCCCAUUAACUAAAUGGAUAAGUACUUGAUGUCCUGUCAUGUAUAUCUUGCUCUGUUUGUUCUUGGGAAGCAUAUACUCUAAUACUUUUGUAUAAGCACCUUUUCCUUUCCAUUGGUUUGGUUAAACUAAUAAUCACAUUUUCCUUUCCAUUGGUUUGUUUAACCAUUCUAGUAAUCUAACUUAUCGGAGCAGAGUUAAUUUUCUGCUUAGGUAAACACCUCGGUGUACAACUCUGUCAGCAAGACCUUGUUACGAUUGUUGAUAACAUUCCGGUAGCCACCGAUGGAUGAGAACUUUGCCUAUUGGUCCGCCUCGUCUUAACGAGCAGGAAAAUGGUUCUCUUCGUCCCUCGCCCUUGGUACCAACGUUGUUGCCAACAUAACUGACAGGCUAUCCUCCAACAUGCCUUGCUACCAUGACCGUGCAAUAUGUCAACGUCCUUCCUACUUUUAAACCACAAGGUGGCCCCAUAACCCAUAGUUCCACAGGAUCGAAACCUGACUCUCCUAUAAGUCCAUGUUUUCUAAGUUAUUCUUCGCACUUGGUUUCAUAUGUAAAUCAUGAGCCAUCUUCCUAGUGAUCUAUUCUGGUAUCAGACGCAAUACUUUCCCAUUGCUCUGAACCCCUUUCACCGUCUGUUUCAUGCAUCUAAAGAUUGCUUAUCUGCUUGAAACUCAUUACUAUACCUUCUUACUUUACUCUCGAUAUUUUCUUAAGUAUCUAUUCAAGAGUUACUUUCUACCACAUUCCCUGAGUUAUCCGCCAGAUAGUCAACCUUGUAAGGCUCGUUCUUCCGAAGUUACCCUUUGUCCUUUUGUAAGUACUAUGAAGUUCCCGAAGAAAGGAUACCUACUUCAUCAUGAUGACCUGAAGCAGAGAAAUGAAGACAUCAAUUUAAUGGAUCGACCUCUUCGAGAAGAGCAACCAAGACCGAGAAUUCGUUAGAAUUUUGUAACUAGACCUUUCCCCCUUAUUUCACCUCUUAAAUCUUGGGACGAGAUUUCUUGUAGUGGAGGAGAAUUGUGAAGCCCGGAUAAUUAAGCUACAAUAAUUCCUAGCUAAUGAUUCCACAUCAUCAUGACUACUGUUGUUGAACUCGCGUUGGUUUGAAACCGGUUCAAAUUUCAAAUUCAAAUCAAAGUCCAAAAUUCAAAUUGCCAGACAUGAAAAAUAAAAUGUUCAAAGUGUGGCAAUUAUACCAUAACUAAUUAUGGUGGUGUCCCAACACUUUUGUAAAAUAAUUAAAUGCCCUUUUGUGAAUAUAACAGCGGCUAAAAAGAAUUAUUAAAUGCUAUUUAAAUUAUAAAAAUACUAAACUAUUUUAUUUGUACCUCAAACUAAAUGUGGCAGUGGUAUAACUAGUAAAACCAAUUUAGAUGUUGCUACUAUAUUUUAUAAAGCUAAUUUCUAUUCAAAAUAAAAGAAAACUAAAACUGUAAAAAGAGAAAUAAGAAAAAGGGAAGAAGAAAAGAAAACAAAACAACACCCCCUCCCCUAGUGGGCCUCGUGGACCAGUUGGGCCACAAAGCCACCAGGCCGGCCCAGCUCCUCCCCACCGUCCCCUUCCUCUGCUACUGGGGGAAGGGGGGAUCGUGGCGCCCAUCCGCCGGCGAUGGCCGGGCGUGGCGGCCAUCCACCCCCCCUAGCGCCCUACUAAUACACCCAGGGCGGCCCCAAACCCUAAGCUUCCCCGUUCCCCUUCCUCCCUCGCGCCCCCGUCUGCUUUUCCUCGUCGACGUCGCCGUGCCCGUGGACACCCGAAGCCACCGCCCCGAACCCCCGUCGUCGUGCCCAGGAGCUACGCCGAGCUCCUCUACGUCGUCUGCGCUCUCUACUUGGAGCUCGGAUCCACCGCCUCGGCCACAUCGAGUUCGUUUUCUUCCCUCGACCGCUGCCGCCUAUACGUCAACACCGGCUGCUCUGCUGCUACUAAGCCACCGCCGGGCCCCCGUGUGCCUCCCCAGUGAGCUUCCGCUCCUUCUCCUCCUCCCCACACUUCGGUUCCACCCCUCUGGCUAGCUAGCCGCCAUGAUCGUAGAUCGUCUCCGCCACGGCGCUCAUCGUCGUCGUUUCGGUCAACGUCGAGUUCGCCUGAGCCCUCGGCCGUGUUCAUCGGCGCCGUAGUAGGCCGUAGCACCAGCGCGUGCAGUCCCUGUCGUGCCUCGCCUCGUCGUAGUCGCCCACGCCUGCUCGCGCUGGCCACGCCCCACGCGCCCCGCGGCCCUUGUAGCCGUCACCACGCGCCGCCUGCGGCCGUCCCACACCCCAGCGCACACCCUGCGCCCGCCUCCGCUCCCGUUGCCCUGCUGUUUCGCCGCCGCCCCUGCACUUGCUGUUGCUGCUGCUGCUAUGUUGCUACUGUGCGCGGCCACUGCUGCUGCUGCCUGCACGACCCCCACGCGAACCCAGCCGCACCGGCUCCGUGCACACGCGCGCCUGCCCGCUUGCCCGCAGCCGCAGGCUGCUGCUCCCAGCCUCGCGCCCACACCUGUUGCCGCUGCUCACUAGUGCUGCUUUGUACUGCUAGGUACUGUAGGUACUAGCUAGCUUUUCUAAUUUCACACCAAGUAACCCCCUAGACAGCCCCUAAACAUCAGUUAAAUAACUGUUAACCGGAGUAAGAAUAAUAUUUGUAGGUAGUAUACUUGUCAAAGCUCAAAUGUUUCCAUUGGACCAAAUCAAUUUGAUGCAUGGAUUAAUUGCCAUAAAAAUCAUAAAAUGCUAUCUUUUCUAAACAGAGAACAGAAUUAACCCCUACCACUGUGUGUGCGUGUGUUGUGUAUGUAUGUGUGUUGUGUGUACAGCGUGCGUGUGUGCGGUGUGCGUGUGUGGCCGGCUGGACUCUGUCCACUAAUGGCCGGCCCUUGUUAAUUAGGCUAUGUUUAGCUUAGGAUUAGUUUAGUGUUAACUAGCCCUUUUAGCAAAUGACAAGUGGGUUCCAUCUAAAUAGAUUAGACAAAUAUUUUGGAAAUUAUUAAAUCAGUGUCAUAUGGGCCACCACCUCUCCUUUUGACUAGUCACAUUGACUUGGUCAAUUCGGAUU
rnacentral:lncRNA from 1 species